UGCAUCACUCUUCUUAGGAACAUGACCCGUUUUUUUAACGUUGUGAUCAAGCGGUCAGUAGCCAUUAUUCGUGUUUAAUCAAUAGGUGUUUAGGGGAUGUGCGGAUGGUUAAAAGUCUCGAAAGGGCAGCAGUAAUGGGCUGUCAAAACUGGAUAGCAAAUUCACAUUUUCAUCCCUUUCAAGACCAUAUUAUGUGGUACGAUGCAACAACCAUUUGGGAUCUAUUGCUUUUGUUUGAGAGGUGUUUGAGGGUCGAGAACCCUGUACAAACAACCAUGGUACCGCAGUUAAAGUAGUAGUUUCUACAUUCUGUCAUGUUCUAUUUCACAGUGAAGGGCGUAGGCGAGGACUCGACAUAGGCGCAAAGACAAGAAGCACGACAACGAAGUAGUGAUGAUGAAGAUGAUCUAAGGAGGACAUAAGCUUUGCUUCACAAAGCAUUAUCAGUUUGCUUAUUUUGAAUUUGCAGGCCAAUAGGCAAAGAUAGUGUACAACCACUCCAUGAAGUUAUUGUUUGGAUUCUCUAAUAGCUGUCUUAGAUGAUCUGAGGAGGACAUAAGCUUUGCUUCUAAACGAGUUCCACCCAGUGCAGGGGUUGCGUUAUCAAGUCCAGUUUUUGUUUUGUUUUUUUUUUUUUUUAAUUUUUGCAGGACUUUAUUGUACUCAUCAAGAUAUAUAUUCACCAUAUAUGCAAGAAUACUUUUGGUAAUUAUUUAUUUCAGUAGUUGUUUGAUGAUUUCUAUGCAUUUGUUAUAUACACUAUGGGCGAUUUUUUUCAUUUUCUUUCUUAUAAACCAAUUUAUUUGAUUUGACAUGUUUGACCCGCUAAAAGCAUAACCAAAGCGACCAAUUUCUGCUGAGAUUUAUGUAGAAUCAAGAAUGGUGUACUGAAAUUUGAUUUGCUUGAGUCAAGAAGUAAAGAAAAUUAAUUGUGGAAGCAAGCCGCAACUUUGUUUCUCCAAUGACAACGAAGUCUCUGGUUUUAGCCUCGAAGCUGCUGAAAAUUAACAACAUUUAUGCCUUAUUACUAAGUGUUCCCUGUUUUAGGUUUGUGAGUGGAGUUUUAUUUUUAUUUUUUAAGUCAAGUAUUUGAAGAUCAAUGAAAAGAAACAUGGUAUGAUUAAGAUGU